ACUAAAAUGGCAGAAAAUGCAAUAGGUUUUAAACUCCUAAUAUGAAGAAUUCUUCUUUUAGUACCCCC
rnacentral:tRNA from 1 species